GAUGUAAUUAAGAAAAUUAUAAAUUUAACAUGAGGAACCAGGAAGUUUGAAUUACAGUGUAACAUAUAAAGUUGGGGAAUUCAGUUUUGCAGUAGAAACAGUUAAUGUCUCUCUGUCAGGCUGCUCUGAUAACUCCUCCCUCUUCUUCCUGGUGUCAGACAGCAGCUGUCAUAGAUAUCCAUAAUAAAGGCUAGAUGUCUUACGGCGGAGUCUCAAACGUCAUCACCGGCGGCCAUCUUGCCUCAGGCAAGCUUUCUGGCGUGCUCUGUGGUACCUAAUGUAAGGAUUUGUUGAGCGACGGGCUCUGAAGAAGCUGUCCUGUGAUGUCUGCCGUGCCAGCUUGGUAACAGAUGCUGCAUCUGCCAUCAAGGACCAGAGCUACCACCUGCUGAAGUAAAAAAACAAUGGAGGUCUGGUGAUUCCAUCAGAAGGCACAGUGAUGUGGUCAGGACAGCAGAGUGGGUCAUUCGUCAGACCUCAUGUACCAGACGAUCACAGCCUAUCAAAGUGCUAGAGGUCGUGUACAUUGUACGGAAGAGGAUAGGGUCAGAGGAUGUGUUUGUGCUCAGAGAGCACAUCGGAGAAACACAGUAUGGCAUAGACAGCCACCACCAUACGCUGUUAACGUUGGUUGUGUCCUUGUUUUUUAAGUUAAGGCUGCACCACAUUGCCAAAAUAACUAACCUUAGCUUACAGAGCAACAACAUGCAACAGAAGCUCAAUAAAACCGUCCUUUUCAAAGGGCAUUAGCCAA